CUUGAGUAGCGAUAAAGAGUGUGAGAGACACUCUCGCCGAAAGUCCAAGGGUUCCUGCGCAAUGCUAAUCAGCGCAGGGUUAGCCGGCCCCUAAGUCGAGGCAGAAAUGCGUAGACGAUGGGAACCACGUUAAUAUUCGUGGGCCUGGCGGUAGUGACGGAUCAUGCAGGUCUGUAUUCCCUUAUUGGAUUGGGAGUGCAGUGAGCUGGUUCCAGGAAAUAGCUCCGCCAACAUAGACCGUACCCUAAACCGACACAGGUGGACUGGUAGAGCAUACCAAGGCGCUUGAGAGAACUAUACUGAAGGAACUCGGCAAAUUGCACGCGUAACUUCGGGAUAAGCGUGACCUCCCAUCGGGCAACCGGUGUGGGGUGGCACAAAAGAGGGGGUAGCGACUGUUUAUUAAAAACACAGGGCUCUGCGAAGUAGCAAUACGACGUAUAGGGUCUGACGCCUGCCCGGUGCCGGAAGGUUAAAUGGAGGAGUGCAAGCUCUGAAAUGAAGCCCCGGUAAACGGCGGCCGUAACAAUAACGGUCCUAAGGUAGCGAAAUUCCUUGUCGGGUAAGUUCCGACCUGCACGAAUGGCGUAACGACUUCCCCACUGUCUCCAGUAUAGACUCAGCGAAAUUGAAUUCCCCGUGAAGAUGCGGGGUUCCUGCGGUCAGACGGAAAGACCCCAUGCACCUUUACUAUAGCUUUACGCUGGCAUUUGUGUCGGCAUGUGCAGGAUAGGUGGUAGGCUUUGAAGCAGGGACGCUAGUUCUUGUGGAGCCGCAAGAUGAGAUACCACCCUUAUCGUCAUAGAUGUCUAACCGCGGCAUUACAGUGUCCGGGACAGCGUAUGGUGGGUAGUUUGACUGGGGCGGUCGCCUCCCAAAGAGUAACGGAGGCGCGCGAUGGUGGGCUCAGACCGGUCGGAAAUCGGUCGUUGAGUGCAAUGGCAUAAGCCUGCCUGACUGCGAGACUGACAAGUCGAGCAGAGACGAAAGUCGGUCAUAGUGAUCCGGUGGUCCCGCGUGGAAGGGCCAUCGCUCAACGAAUAAAAGGUACGCUGGGGAUAACAGGCUGAUACUGCCCAAGAGUCCAUAUCGACGGCAGUGUUUGGCACCUCGAUGUCGGCUCAUCACAUCCUGGGGCUGGAGCAGGUCCCAAGGGUAUGGCUGUUCGCCAUUUAAAGUGGUACGUGAGCUGGGUUUAAAACGUCGUGAGACAGUUUGGUCCCUAUCUGCCGUGGGUGUAGGAAUAUUGAGAAGAGCUGACCCUAGUACGAGAGGACCGGGUUGGACGAAUCUCUGGUGGACCUGUUGUGGCGCCAGCCGCAUUGCAGGGUAGCUAUAUUCGGACGGGAUAACUGCUGAAAGCAUCUAAGCAGGAAGCCUCCUUCAAAACUAGUAUUCCCUUGAGAGCCGUGGAAGACCACCACGUUGAUAGGCCGGAUGUGGAAGCGCAGUAAUGUGCGAAGCUGACCGGUACUAAUAGCUUA
rnacentral:rRNA from 1 species